GUCUUUAUAAUUUAAGAGGUUAGAAUAUUUGAUUUUCAUUCAAAAUAUGCUGGUUCAAGUCCAGUUAAGGAUA
rnacentral:tRNA from 1 species